GCGUCCCUACGGGGCGCAGCAGUGAGGAAUAUUGGUCAAUGGGCGAGAGCCUGAACCAGCCAAGUCGCGUGAGGGAAGACGGUCCUAUGGAUUGUAAACCUCUUUUGCCGGGGAGCAAAAAGCGGUACGUGUACCGCAUCGAGAGUACCCGGAGAAAAAGCAUCGGCUAACUCCGUGCCAGCAGCCGCGGUAAUACGGAGGGCGCGAGCGUUAAUCGGAAUUACUGGGCGUAAAGCGCGCGUAGGCUGUUGUGUAAGUUGGGGGUGAAAUCCCACGGCUCAACCGUGGAACAGCCCUUGAUACUG
rnacentral:rRNA from 1 species